GAUGAAGAACGCAGCAAAAUGCGAUAAGUAAUGCGAAUUGCAGAAUUUCCGUGAAUCAUCGAGUCUUUGAACGCACAUUGCGCCCCCUGGUAUUCCGGGGGGCAUGCCUGUCCGAGCGUCAUUGCUGCCCUCAAGCACGGCUUGUGUGUUGGGCCCCGUCCUCCGAUCCCGGGGGACGGGCCCGAAAGGCAGCGGCGGCACCGCGUCCGGUCCUCGAGCGUAUGGGGCUUUGUCACCCGCUCUGUAGGCCCGGCCGGCGCUUGCCGAUCAACCCAAAUUUUUAUCCAGGUUGACCUCGGAUCAGGUAGGGAUACCCGCUGAACUUAAGCAUAUCAAUAAGCGGAGGA
rnacentral:misc_RNA from 1 species